GACGAACGCUGGCGGCGUGCCUAAUACAUGCAAGUCGAGCGAAGCGGGGACGGGUGAGUAACACGUGGAUAACCUCCUAUAUGAUUGGGAUAACUUCGGGAAUCCGGAGCUAAACCGGAUACUUAGAGCUGGAUCCGCGCGGCAUUAGCUAGUUGGUAAGGCAACGGCUUACCAAGGCAACGAUGCAUAGCCGACCUGAGGGGGUGAUCGGCCACACUGGAACUGAGACACGGUCCAGACUCCUACGGGAGGCAGCAGUAGGGAAUCUUCCGCAAUGGGCGAAAGCCUGACAGAGCAACGCCGCGUGAGUGAUGAAGGUCUUCGGAUCGUAAAACUCUGUUAUUAGGGAAGCGGUACCUAAUCAGAAAGCCACGGCUAACUACGUGCCAGCCGCCGCGGUAAUAC
rnacentral:rRNA from 1 species